CAUUGGAAAUUGGGGGAACCCUGACCGCAAUGCCGCGUGGGUGAUGAAGGCCUUCGGGUUGUAAAGCCCUUUUGGCGGGGACGAUGAUGACGGUACCCGCAGAAGAAGCCCCGGCUAACUUCGUGCCAGCAGCCGCGGUAAUACGAAGGGGGCUAGCGUUGUUCGGAAUUACUGGGCGUAAAGGGCGCGUAGGCGGCCUUGAUAGUUGGGCGUGAAAGGCCUGGGCUCAACCCGGGAACUGCGUUCAAUACUGCGAGGCUAGAGUGUGGGAGAGGUUGGUGGAAUUCCCAGUGUAGAGGUGAAAUUCGUAGAUAUUGGGAAGAACACCGGUGGCGAAGGCGGCCAACUGGACCACAACUGACGCUGAGGCGCGAAA
rnacentral:rRNA from 1 species